rnacentral:rRNA from 1 species
CCGGAUUUAUUGGGUUUAAAGGGUCCGUAGGCGGAUCUGUAAGUCAGUGGUGAAAUCUCACAGCUUAACUGUGAAACUGCCAUUGAUACUGCAAGUCUUGAGUAAAUUAGAAGUGGCUGGAAUAAGUAGUGUAGCGGUGAAAUGCAUAGAUAUUACUUAGAACACCAAUUGCGAAGGCAGGUCACUAUGUUUUAACUGACGCUGAUGGACGAAAGCGUGGGGAGCGAACAGGAUUAGAUACCCUGGUAGUCCACGCCGUAAACGAUGCUAACUCGUUUUUGGGUUUUCGGAUUCAGAGACUAAGCGAAAGUGAUAAGUUAGCCACCUGGGGAGUACGUUCGCAAGAAUGAAACUCAAAGGAAUUGACGGGGGCCCGCACAAGCGGUGGAUUAUGUGGUUUAAUUCGAUGAUACGCGAGGAACCUUACCAAGGCUUAAAUGGGAAAUGACAGGUUUAGAAAUAGACUUUUCUUCGGACAUUUUUCAAGGUGCUGCAUGGUUGUCGUCAGCUCGUGCCGUGAGGUGUUAGGUUAAGUCCUGCAACGAGCGCAACCCCUGUCACUAGUUGCUAACAUUUAGUUGAGGACUCUAGUGAGACUGCCUACGCAAGUAGAGAGGAAGGUGGGGAUGACGUCAAAUCAUCACGGCCCUUACGCCUUGGGCCACACACGUAAUACAAUGGCCAGUACAGAGGGCAGCUACACAGCGAUGUGAUGCAAAUCUCGAAAGCUGGUCUCAGUUCGGAUUGGAGUCUGCAACUCGACUCUAUGAAGCUGGAAUCGCUAGUAAUCGCGCAUCAGCCAUGGCGCGGUGAAUACGUUCCCGGGCCUUGUACACACCGCCCGUCAAGCCAUGGAAGUCUGGGGUACCUGAAGUCGGUGACCGUAACAGGAGCUGCCUAGGGUAAAACAGGUAACUAGGGCUAAGUCGUAACAAGGUAGCCGUACCGGAAGGUGCGGCUG